CGAAACGUCUCUUAUUUGUAUUUAUCUCCUGUUUAAAUAAAGAGUAUUUUAGAGUGCAGACCUUGAGUUACGUUUAAUAUAACAUAGUUUAACUGGAAAAUGAGCCAAAAUACUCAAUACACAAGUCCUGGAAAUGAAUACAUAACUUAUCCUUCAAGAGUUCACAUCUUUAAAGGACAAAAAAGUAAUGAUGUAAAUAUUUAAGAAAUCAAAUUAUGUGGAACACAAUAGAAGAUCCUGUUCACCAUCUGCGUAUGGAACAUUUUGUGAAACGUCUUCUUUUGUGUUCCACCGAAGACAGGAAACAUUGGGCAACAUGAGGAUCAUCUUGCAGUUUGUCCUAAAUAUGUAUGUGUACUGAGAAAAGAGAAAGCAAGUCUGAGUGAGAAUCUGUGAGCUGAGAGCGCGAUCGGUGGAGAACCCUGGGUGUACGUGAGAUGCUGACAGAAAUGUUGUGUUCCUGGAGAGAGAGACAGAGAGACAGAGCGAUGAGCUGGCCAGAAUCUAUCAGCUGCUGCUGGGUGCGAGACAUCUGGUGCGGCCAGAUGCCCGUCCGGUCACUAAUCACACCAACAUCUCAUCAUGACCAUUGAUCAAUCAAUCUGUCUCGCCAGGCCUGCAGACCGCAUGUUUAUGACUAUAAAGAAAAAUAUCCUGCCUUACCAACAAGGGCGAAACGUCACCUCAAGAUUAAGCAAUAUUUAUUUGGCUUGCAGGGAGUGUUGUGUUUCAAGGCUUUUAAAAAGACAUUAAAGCUUUUAGUAGUGGGGAAUAGUUCUCAGGGGACCAUCUAAACCCAGAGGAAAAUUUUAUUGCUUUUUCGUGGCUCUUAAUGGAGCCUUAAUCAGUUAUUUUUCAUUUAUAAAACUUUGUCUCUGUUGUUUCUGCUAAAGUUCUUUAGGGGAAGUAAAAUAGAUGCAAAUAAGGCAUACAGUUAUAGUAUAGUAGUAAAUCAAAUGGUCUACUUUUAUGAUUGUUUUUACCCUUUAGCAUCUUCACAGCUGGUCACUGUCUACUUUUAUUUUGUUGAAAAUGCUGUCAUCAUUUACAUCCCAUCAUGUCAUGUCAAACCCAUAUGGCUUACUUGUAUUCAAUGGAACACAAAAGGAGAUGGUUUACAGAAAGUUCAAGCUGCUGUUUUCCAGACAACAACCAUAUAGUGCAAAAAAGUGUUCUUUAUAUGAAGAGUUCAGGUGCAAAAGCCUCCAAGUGCCGUUUUAAAUUUUCUUCUAAAAUGAGCAUUUGUCUCAGACUCCUAUGUGUAGGUUCAGUAUUUUCACUUUAAUGUCAAUGACUAGGUUCUUUUCAUCGCCAUUAAAGUGAAAUAACUGAACAUAAA